GCCAGCAGCCAUAUCACCCUGCAACUCACAACUGGCAACCCACUGAAGCUCAGCAGGUGUGAGCCUGGUCAGUACCUGGAUGGGAGACCUCCAGGGAAAAACUGAGGCUGCUGCUGGAA
rnacentral:rRNA from 1 species